UGAAUACGAGAUGCUACGGCGUCGAAGCAGUCUAUGUCAUACUUCCAAGAAAAGCUCGCACUGUCAUAAACAAAUAAUGCCUGUACCAUAACCGACACAGGUGGGUAGGUAGAGUAUACUAAGGGGCGCGAGAUAACUCUCUCUAAGGAACUCGGCAAAAUGACUCCGUAACUUCGGGAGAAGGAGUGCCUUAUUUAUAAGGUUGCAAUAACAAGAUCCAAGCAACUGUUUAUCAAAAACACAGGUCUCCGCUAAGUCGUAAGACGAUGUAUGGGGGCUGACGCCUGCCCAGUGCCAGAAGGUUAAAGAAGUUGGUUAGCAUUCGCGAAGCUGAUAACUGAAGCCCUGGUGAACGGCGGCCGUAACAAUAACGGUCCUAAGGUAGCGAAAUUCCUUGUCGGGUAAGUUCCGACCCGCACGAAAGGCGUAAUGAUUUGGAUACUGUCUCGGAGAGGGGCUCGGUGAAAUAGACUUGUCUGUGAAGAUGCGGACUACCUGCACCAGGACAGAAAGACCCUAUGAAGCUUUACUGUAACUUGAGAUUGAAAUUGGACUUUACUUGCGCAGUAUAGGUGGGAGGCGUUGAUAAUAUUCUUGCGGGAUUAUUUGAGCCAUCAGUGAGAUACCACUCUUGUAAUGUUAGAUUUCUAACUUUGUAUCAUUAUCUGGUCAAAGGACAGUUUCAGGCGGGCAGUUUGACUGGGGCGGUCGCCUCCUAAACGGUAACGGAGGCGCACAAAGGUUUCCUCUGAACGGGUAGAAAUCGUAUCUAGAGUGUAAAGGCAUAAGGAAGCUUGACUGUGAGACCUACAAGUCGAGCAGGGACGAAAGUCGGUCUUAGUGAUCUGACGGUGCUGAGUGGAAGGGCCGUCACUCAACGGAUAAAAGUUACUCUAAGGAUAACAGGCUGAUCUCCCCCAAGAGUUCACAUCGACGGGGAGGUUUGGCACCUCGAUGUCGGCUCAUCGCAUCCUGGGGCGGUAGUACGUCCCAAGGGUUGGGCUGUUCGCCCAUGAAAGCGGUACGCGAGCUGGGUUCAGAACGUCGUGAGACAGUUCGGUCCAUAUCCGGUGUAGGCGUUAGAAUAUUGAGAGGAGCCUUCUUUAGUACGAGAGGACCGAGAAGGACAUACCUCUGGUGUACCAGUUAUCGUGCCAACGGUAAACGCUGGGUAGCUAUGUAUGGAGUGGAUAACCGCUGAAAGCAUCUAAGUGGGAAGCCCACCUCAAGAUAAG
rnacentral:rRNA from 1 species